UCCCCACAAACCCCUUCCUUUUUUCCUUCAGCAGCACCAAGACCUACCCGAUCAGCUGCUUUCGCAAAGCCAGAGUCUCCUGGCGGCUGCGUGGCUCGGCGCUCAUGGCUGUUCCGAGAUACGGAAGAGAAACCACAGAGAUAGGAUAAGGGUAGAGUGGUAAUCUAAUUGUUUGGAGCAAUGCCUUCCGGAUUCCUUUUUUUCCACUCAGGCGGAAGUGAGAGCUGCCCAUAGAAAACGAUGGAGAAGUCCAGCCUUUUAGCGUACAGUACUGCUAAAAUAUAUGACAGGGCAGCCGCGUCUCCACCCCGGAACAAAAAGGCAGCAGUAAAUAGAAAUGCACGCGCAGCGGCGAGGAGCUGGCGUUUGAUCCUGGACUGCCUAGCCCCCCCUGGUUGACGCCGCGUGGAACUUCUUCAACUUUUACAUACGACGAAGUCCCGAGAGGAAAGGUCUACUUGGGAGUAAGCCUAAAUACAGUUAUGUGUACUGACUAUAUUUGGAGUAUAAUUUCAUCUGGUCAGAACUGUGCUCUUUGCAGCCCACCUAAAAUGUACAGUAAAAUCAGGUCAGUUAUCUAAUACAGGGUAUGCUUUCCUAUACAACUGCCUGCUUUUCUAUAUGAAUAUUUGUGAGUGUAGUUUAUUCAGCAUGCAAAAACACAUUACUUAGGAGGCAGCAGUGAAUAAAUGUUCAAUUACUGUUUCCUAAUAUUGAUCAAUCACUUUGCUGGAUAUUACAUUGGAAAUGAAGCUCACCUAGAAAAUGAAAAUUAGCAGUCUGAAAUCAAAUUAUAGAUGGGUUUUAGUACCAUAUAGUGCAAACCGUAACUUUUUGCAAGGUAACGUGAUCAAUUACAAAAUUAAAAAUCUGAAAACAUAAAAUAUAGUCGAAAUCUUGAAUUUCACAUACUGAACAGAUUUAUCCUUUUUAAAGUAUAUCAGUGGUCUCAUAUAUGAAGAAGCCACAUGUUUAUAAUCUUUAGCAUUUUAAAAGAAAUGCCCUACUUGCUUUACUACAGAUGGUUAGUAAUGAUUUGGUAUCUUAACUCCACCUAUGCACAAUAAAUAGGGCAUUUCUAUUAAAAAGGAAUUACUUCAUUCCUUUCAGUGUUUUAAGCUGUAUUUCCCACAAUGUGACAUGAAUAAGCAUUUUAAAUGUAUCAAAAGUGUCUCAUUAACUGAAUAGCAAUGGAUCAAACCAACUAGGUGUCAGCUUGCAGAAAUUGGCACCAGAUGGGGAGCACGUUUAAAACUGUUCUUCCUGGUAUCUCUGUUCACAAAGUAAGCCAUUCAUAUGCAAUGGCUGCCAUAGAGAGUGAAAUAUCUUUUCUACACUAUAUAUAAAAAAGGAGGGGUUGCCAAAGGCUUGCAAUGAUGUAGCGCACCAUUGCAAAGAAACAGCUUGUUAUGUGGUGGUGUUUGACCGUUAACAGUGGGUAAGUGUGUUCUGGAGUGUAUCCAGUAGCUGAAGAGAAAAUGUUAGUUUACAGGUAUUUUGGGUUAAGAGUGACCUUAUUUGCAUGUCACAGUAAGGCAAACUAUGGGUUACUGGGACUGCACAAACAUGUAGGUUCCUGGAGAGAAACUUUUAGCUGCUUUACUCCUCUCGUCUUUUUUGUUUUUGCAAUGCAGCACUAAAAAAGACCGGGGAGGGUACAGAUGACAUAGUUUGGCUUUCCAUGACAUGUGAACUAGGCCUGAUGUGAACUAGGCCACUGUGAUUCUCAUUCUGUAAUAAAUUCAGAAGGAGCAGGGAGGAAAUAAAAGAGCUAUAGUCAGAUUGACAUGUUCGGACAUGCUAAACAACAAUUGCUCACCAUUCUCUUCUGGCAUACUGAUGAGUUCAGAAGUUUUAGCUUCCGGUUUCAAUUAGUUUUCUAUCUGAACUCUAAACAGUGGUUAAUCUUGACUAUGGUUUGUUAAAACAAGUAAGCGUGGUUUGAAGUUAGGUUAUUUCAAAUUGUGGUUAAGAUUAACCACAGUUUGUUGGGUUCAGACAACAUGACUAGAAGUAGUUAAUUAAAUAGGGAAGUAAAAGCCUCUGAAUUUUCCUUGCAGCCAUGUUGAAUAGGGGAGAAAGGUAGUGUGACUUUUGAACUGGGCCAAUAUCUUUUGCCCCCACCAUGAUAAACUCAUAGUAACCUAACUACAGAGUUUUGAGGCAUCCCAUACAGGGCCCUUCACUGCUAAUAUAUUCAAUGAAUACCCACCAAUAUAAAUUCCAUGAGGUAUAGCGGAUAGUCUUAGGUUUAAACAUCAGAAACUUGUGUUCAAAUGCCUGUUUAACUAUGAAGCUUAGGAGUAGUUCUUGGGCAAGUCUCUGUCCCUUAACUUACCCCACAGAAUUGUUGUGUGCAGUGAAUGAGAUAAUCCUAUGUAUUGGUUUAUUACUUAUAAUUGAUAUUUCUAAAUCAUUUAGUGCUCCUUGGAGGAAGGGAAAUAUAAAAAUGCAGUUAUUAACCAUAAAUAAUGUAGUGUCACUUUUUAUAAAGGAGUUUCACUUUUGAUGGUGUUUACAUUUCAGGAGACUUUUGUUGCAGCAAGUUGUUUUCUCUUUACAAAUAUAUUGUCAUCAAACACAUUUUGCCAAGGACUUGCAAUUGAAAAGGGGUUUAAUGCAUUAAUAAGCAAGUGCUGUCAUUGACUGCUGUUGAUACAAGAGAAUGAUGAAGAGCUACUUGGAUCUUUUCCUACAAAAAAGAAUAGUUUAGUGUAUAUUAUCAUGCUUAUAAAUUGAACUAAUUUUAUAAGCAGUGAUCUAGAAGGGCAUGGAUGCAACUGACUUUAGUGUUUCCUCACAGAAACAUCAGCACUCCCAAACAUACACAAAGCCAGCAAAUUACUUAUUAAACUGUCUAAAUUUGAAAAGCAAUGAGGGGAUUUGGCACAGACUUUUUAAAGGAAAGGUGGGGGAUUUAAAGCAGUAGGUCUACCUGCAUCCCUCUUGACUGGAGCCAUAAUUGUGGAGGAUAUCCAUUACCAAAUAUGUCUAUUCUAUGCUGUGAAUGUGGGCCUUGAAGUUUGUUUCCUGCGUCUUCAAGGUAUUGCCACACUACCACACAUAUGGUCCAGUCUUUUAUUUCCUUUCCUUCUGCUAAGGAUGCCCCUAAGAUAAUGGCAGUUAGAUAGAUGUAUAACAAGCUAACACUACAGACUGGAGUGAAGGAUUUUGCUUGGAGAUAAUAUUUGAGGAAAUGAUAUGCAGUAGAGCAGCCUUUUCUUACCUUUGGGUUGCUGGAUGUUGCUGAACUACAACUUCCAUCAGCCCCAGCCAGCAUGGCUAAUGGUUAGGAAUUAUGGGAACUGUAGUCCAGUAACGUCUGGGGACCCAAAGGUUGGGAAAGGCUGCUGAAGAGGAAGAAAAGAGAUGAUUUUGUUGUCCAGAGACUAGUGAGCUUUGUAAGUGAUUUUUGCCAUCUGUAAAAGAGCAUAACAUGCAGAAGACAGAGCUACGCGCACAACUGUUUGACUUUCAAGAAGGCCUUGAAAGCUAGUCUCUUAUAUGGAAGGUAACAACAUUUUGAUUGACAAUUUAAAUACUUAACUUCCUUUUCGUAAGUCAUUGUCGUUUAUCUUCAUUUACAUAACAAGUUUAAUAUCAUUACAGAGCAAACUGUCAUAGAGGCCUCAGAAGUCAUAAAAUAAAGCUAACAUAUAUAACCCAAAUAGUUAACAAAUGAAGCAAUGUUAACUUUAUAGUUUCACUUUUUGUGUAUAGUAUGCAUCUUCUACCAUGAAGAUUUGUACACUGUUUUAAGGCAUUAAUUUUAGUUUGUGUAGAAGGCAUGUACAAGCAGUAAUAAUAGAAAUGAUACACGUUAUUGCUAAAGAUCUACAAGAUAGCAAUCCAGAACCUCUCUUCUACCUACACGAAUGGAGAUAAUCAUGACAUCCUUACAGAAAUGAAUUUUGAUUAGUAAUGUGAACCAGCAUUUUGGAAUAUGCUUGAAUCUGUCUCUGGGAAUGAGGGCUUAAUUUUGAAUUAGGAUGAAGCCAAUUAGCACCAAUAUAAAAGGGGGAGGGAAAUCCACACUUUCUAGAUUUUGUUAAAACCGUGAAGUAGUAUGUUCCUUGGUUCCUGUAAACAUGUGGAUGUUCAUCAUAGCUUUGUGAUUAGUUGAUCAUUGUCACUGCUGGUGUUCAGACAAAUAGGCUGGUGUUCAAGUAGGCGGAUGAUGAACAGUAAGAAAAUUGCUGUAAGGCCUUAGCUAAAAGUUCAGAGGUCAAAGGGUUCAAAUGCUCCUAUGAAGCAGUAACCCCUAUUCUGCAAGUCAACCUUGCUCAGUCAGUUCUGCAGCUUCCAACUAUCUUUGCUAAUUCUUGACUCGUAGAGAGCUGCUAUUCUUUUAACUGCUGUGUAACGGAGAGAAGACUAGUAUGAACAGCUUCUGCUAUUACAGCAUGAGACAAGCAGGACCAUAUUAACUUUUCUUGCUCUAUAGCUAUUAAGGGCAUUGGCCCUCUUCAGAGCCAGGAGUCACCAACUCUACCUCCAAUGUUCUUCCUAUUUUCCCCACUCCCUUCUACACAUUAUGUAUCUACCCAACAUGUUUUGUAGCCAUUACCUCAUAGGCAGUAUGGUUCCUGGAUGCUAUGUCUCCUCUAAGAUUCAGCAAGCCAAGUAUCCACAUUUUUCUGUCUAGCAUUAUUUCUAAAGCUUUCUAUAUUCAUUAUGGACCUUGUGAAACCUAUUAGUUAGCAUGGCCUUGACAGCUGAACACCUUUUAAGACUGUGGCUGUUCAGCAUUUUUCAAUAAAAGAUUCAAUAAUCAAAACCUAGAGUCUGAAGAAAGUUUUGUCAGUGUGAUGUUUGUCUCAUAGAGGAAGUAAACAAGGGGUGGCUAACUUGUGACCCUUCAUCUGUUGUUGGACUCCAGCUCCCAUCAGCUCCAGCCAGGACGAUGGCAGUUGUAGUCCAGCAACUUUUGAAGACUAUAGGCUCCUCAUCCCUAAAGUAAACAAAGAGCAUGUACAUGAUCCCGUUAACAGCGCAGCCAUACUGGGUAUAUAGCUGCAUAAACCGGUGAACACUGUUGGCAGUGAGGUUAGAAAUGAAAUGACUUCUUGCUACAAAUAUAGGUUUGACACAGGAUGAGUGUGAAUAUGCUUAGUUUCUUGGAAUUACUAACAUAUAAUUCAAUUCUAGCAAUGAUAAAUAUCAUAGCCCAUAUAUGGGAUGUUUUCCUCCACUAGUAGUAGUAUGUCUUUGUAUUUGUGCUCAUAUCCACAAUGCAUUAGAGCUAGCUACAGUUCUGUGAAUUGCUAGAGCAGCUCUGUGCUUUAUACCAGAAGUCCCAGGUAUAUUUAAAGGAAGGUGGCUGCUCACACUGUUUUGCUGCAGGGUUCACUAAUGUAAGUGGUGUGCCUGUGACAAAUGCGAUUGCUGCAUAAAAUAUGAAGCUUCCCCUAGAACCUUUACUGUGGAGAACCAGAACUCAAAGAGCUGAUUCCAUUACCAAAUUACUAUACAAUCACUGAUGCUGUUAUUGAACUCCUGAAUAUCUGACUAUAGGUAAGUUUUAUGUGGGAAGUGCUUACACACCAAUGAAAAUACUACCAUUCAAGGUAUGUGCUUGGUUGUGUAUAUGGGAGAGAGAAAGCACAGUACAAAAAUAGAGAUCCAGUUUAUCAGUGUUGAUAUAACAAGCCCUGCCAAUCCAGGGAAGUAAGAAUUGGACUUCAUACAGGAAUCACUUCCAAUUUUACAAACAAGUUGACACUCAACAGACUGAUGCCAUGGAAGAGGCUUUAAGCAGAAUUCAUGUCUUGCUCCAAAUCUGUAAACUGAGAUGAAUGUCUUAUUGUCUCCUGUGUGUGUGUUUUAAAAAAACUGUUUGGUAAGUGAGGCACCCCAAAUUUUCCAAUUCUGCAGUAAUAAAGUUCCACAAGAGAAUCAAUCCACCUUAAGUCACAGAUUGCAGAAUGCUAAAUGGAGGUUUUUCCAGCAAUAAAGUUUUCUUCAUAUGGAGAAGCAGCCACGGAUGAUAGAGUUGAUCAUAAUGACCGAGAACGAAACUAUUUUCUUCAAGGUGGAGGUAUGUAGCAGCAUGUGUGGUUACAUUUGGGUUAUUUAUCCAGGGUGGAAGUUCCUCCUACAUUCAUCCAUAAACCAUUGUCUCAUUUCUAAGGGUGUGUCUUUUUUUUCUUUUUUGUUUUCUCCCCCGCUUGCAUCUGUGUCUAUGUGCAAUAGAAUUGCAGAGUUGAAAGCCAACGUUUAGAAGAGAGAAGUUUCUUCAUGCAAUAAGGCACACUAGGCAAAUUUUCUCAGUGCUGUUAGUCCACACAGCAAGUAACAAUCAUUCCCAAUGAUUUCAGAGUGUCCCGUUAUAAAAUGGUAGCUAUUAUGUAUGCUUCUCCUAUGAGCUUUGGAAAUGUUUAUAUCUUUGAAAUCCAUACAUGACAGCAUACAGUAUAAAAAGAUCAAUAUAUUACUGUUGAAGACAUUGUUUUUUGUGACUUUCUCCCCUCUCUUUUUUAUAAAAAUUAGAAAAGAUAAAAUAUAUCACGCUAUUAUUUACAUAAUUCAUGCUUGUAGGAUCACUGAAAAAGAACACAAACAUGUUUUAAAACACAGGCAUAGCAUGCUUCUCUCAUCCACCAUGAAGUAGUUGUACUUUGUUAAUAAGGUAGUUACAGUAGUCACCUUCUAGGCCCUGUCCACAUUAUAUUUUAACAGUAUUUGCACAUAUGUGAUGAAAUGGUUGACUUCUCUCAUAGCUUGCUUGUCAUUCAUUGCAUAACUUAAGCUCACUAAGAGUGCAAUCUUAAAUGAGGAUGUGAAAGGAGUCAGGAAGACAGUCUGCCAUUUCCAAAGAUGUACUGGGGUGGUGGUGGUGGAUGACAUAUGGCUUCAAUCUAGCCCUGAUGAUUCUUUUGUUUGUUUGCUUAAUUCUCUCCAUUUAAAACAAUGGGGGGCCCUUCAGGCUGGUGUAAGUAAUGGCCCAAUCCUGGGGCCUCUUGAGGAAGUGGAUGGGCUUUGGAUUCAGUGGGUUGAAGGCUGCAUCUGCCCUGCCUCUGCUGAGUCCACUCUGUCCCUAGAAUGGCCUGUUUGGGGGCAUAACACUGGCUACUGCUGGUGGAAAUGCCACUUGCAAUAGAUCUAAGAUCUAUGCUUGUAGAGAUUUCUGUGGGCAUAGUGGUGACAUCCACAGUGGACAUUCCUCCCUCACUGGUGGAAAGGCACCUCCAUCCCAUCCUGACCCUCUAGCCAGUAGCUCUGGGAGUUAAGAUUGCUCUGCCCUUGCUAAAUUUGAUAAUCCCCGUUCAAAGGAAACAAGUGUGAUUGGUUGCUUUCAAUAUGGCUCGUGCAAUCCUUCAGUUUUCUUCUCUACACAGCCCAAUCAUUUGUUGUCUUUCUCUGUAUGUAGCCUGGACACCAAAACACUACAAGGAAGAUACACAGACUCUGAACAUAUGACUGAACAUAUGUAGAUCUACAAUAAAGAAGGGAAAAAACACUGGGUGGUUUUGUUUUUGCCUCUCAAAACGAGCCGAGCUAAAAUAAUGAACUGGCUUUUGUAUAUGGUUUUAUUCCCCUUGGGAAGUGCCAUUCUUUUUGGUGGGGGAGGAAUGAGAGUAGCAUAAAAUAUUUGCAGAAAGAGUCCCCACUGCCAGGGCAGCACAAUCAAUACCCCUUAUUUAGCUGCACUGUACCAAAAUCCUUGCAGAGCAGCAAAAUGAGGAGCAUUGACUUGAUUGCCUUAGCAACAUGGAGCAUUCUUCCAUUUAAGAGUGAGGGCAAUGAGACGGCUUCAUUUGCCCUGAGUCAUGCCAUCCUGUAGCCAAAUGUGUAUGACAUAACCACACCAUGCGAUCCCUGAACAAAUGGGAUAAUAAAGAGAAGAGCAAGAAUCUCUGGUUUUAAAAAACGCCAAGAGAGAGGCACAGAGGGAUAGCACAGUGGCUAUGGCCACCCAUUAAAAUGCACAGUAUGUUUGAGUUUUUUGGGGAGGCACUUCCCAAAACUAAUGCAGCUCUAACAUAAUAACCUGGCUCAUAGGAAAAAAGGGGGAUGGGUUAAGACCCCUCUCUUCCUACUUCACUGGUAGAAAUCACUUCUUGCCACAAUUUUACCACUGUGUGACCAUGGCUUGCAUUCAAGGAGAUGGGCAUGCCACCAUCCAGAGCAGUUCCACCCUAAAUUUACACUAAUUUAUAACAAAAUGUAAAAAUUUCUUGUAUGACGACAUAAAAGCAAGAUGCAAAGUCAGCAUUAAAACUGAAGUAAAGCCAGAUUUCUGUGCCAUGCAUAGAACAAAGAAGGAAGAACCUUACUGAACAGGAUUAAGUUUCUUGGCAAAUUAUUUCUAGUUAUAACUUCAUAUAUAAAAUACUGAGUUUCUUGUCUUUUUGGUUCACUCCCUCUCAGGGCACAUUUAGCAUGGCUAUCUGGAUUUGCCUCAAUCCAUUCCCUGCACACACACACACACACCCCUCUAGAAUGUACUGGUUCCAUGUUAUGACUCUUGCUAAACAACAAUUUAAAUUCACUCCAAAGAGAAAAUCCAAGAUAAGGUACGAUACCUUGUGCCAACAUCCUGGUACUGGUAAUCCAUCUGGGCCCUGUAAAAGUAAGUAAACAUUUUGUACUAUUGGAAAGCAUCAAGUAAAUCUUUAAAAAGUUAAAAUGUUUUGGUUUAUACAAUAAUAGGAGUUUGAUUUGGGGAGGGGGAGGGCUAUACAAGUAUAAACUCUAUUACAAUCUAAAUGAAAUUAUUUUAGGCAGUCUCUCAGACAUCUCUGAGCUCAACUCUACAAGUGACACAUGAGGCCUACUGGUGAAUGGCUGUAUGUCUCAAAAUGGGAAGCACAUGGCCAAUGGCAAGCAAAGGCACGAACAUCUUCCUUGCCUAUCCUAGGUAAGGAAGAUUUGUCUGUUAUCCAUAGUGUUUCUGAUUCUGUUUUUUCCUUGUUUGGAAAGCAUUUUCUUUGUUGCUCUUGGGGGGAGGGGGAAGAAUAAGCUCAUGACAUCGGAAUCAGAAUACUUCCAGCAUAUGGGAUCAACAAUGUGAUCAUGUAUGCAAGUUAUUUAUUUAUACAAAAGUUAAAGACAACUAAGGCUGCCUUUGAUAACAAAUGUUAGAAUCGUCUGUGGCAUCAGACACAUAAAUAGCCAUAGUUACCUUGUCUAUUUCAAUCUGUGUACUCUGAAACCAUUCAUUCAAUUUGCACAAAGGUUUCAACACCUCAUGGCACCCAGGAAAGUGUGAAUGAAUCUCUCUCUCUCUCUCUGAGCCAGAAGGACUGACACACCUUUUGAUACAAAGCCUGACUCAAAUGUGAUUCAAAUGUCAGAACUAAAUAUAUAUAACCUUGUAUUGUAAUAUCUUUUGUAUUUGCUAGAUACCCUGAAUUUCUAAUGUUCAAAAUUUUUCUUGAUUCCCUGCUUCACCAUGUGUUCAGAUUUGUAUUAGACAUAUGUGAAUUAUAUAAAAGUAUUGUGAAUGAUAGUGUGACAUAUGCGGAUGAUGACUAACUUCUCUUUGCUUCCAUGUAUUGCUUCUCUUAAAUAUUUCAUAUGCUCCCAGCUCUUCCC